AAUUCUCAAAGCAAGUCUUUUGUUAAUUCAAUCGGCUCUGCUUUGGACUUGGGGGCUUGCAGAUUCACGUCUGCUCCUCUUAAAUACAUUAGCUGGAUCUCCAUGAACUUGGUUCCACUCGGCGUGAUAAGUAUCACUCGCUGAGGACACCCGUAAAAAGGUGGCCAGGCUUGAGGAUGAGCCGCUUCUAACAGUCCAUUAGCUUGGACAAUUUAUUUAUG
rnacentral:misc_RNA from 1 species